AUUGAACGCUGGCGGCAGGCCUAACACAUGCAAGUCGAGCGGAUGAAGGGAGCUUGCUCCUGGAUUCAGCGGCGGACGGGUGAGUAAUGCCUAGGAAUCUGCCUGGUAGUGGGGGAUAACGUCCGGAAACGGGCGCUAAUACCGCAUACGUCCUGAGGGAGAAAGUGGGGGAUCUUCGGACCUCACGCUAUCAGAUGAGCCUAGGUCGGAUUAGCUAGUUGGUGGGGUAAAGGCCUACCAAGGCGACGAUCCGUAACUGGUCUGAGAGGAUGAUCAGUCACACUGGAACUGAGACACGGUCCAGACUCCUACGGGAGGCAGCAGUGGGGAAUAUUGGACAAUGGGCGAAAGCCUGAUCCAGCCAUGCCGCGUGUGUGAAGAAGGGCUUCGGAUUGUAAAGCACUUUAAGUUGGGAGGAAGGGCAGUAAGUUAAUACCUUGCUGUUUGGACGUUACCAACAGAAUAAGCACCGGCUAACUUCGU
rnacentral:rRNA from 1 species